UACGUAGGGCGCAAGCGUUGUCCGGAAUUAUUGGGCGUAAAGAGCUCGUAGGCGGCUUGUCGCGUCGAUUGUGAAAGCCCGGGGCUUAACUCCGGGUCUGCAGUCGAUACGGGUAGGCUAGAGUGUGGUAGGGGAGAUCGGAAUUCCUGGUGUAGCGGUGAAAUGCGCAGAUAUCAGGAGGAACACCGGUGGCGAAGGCGGAUCUCUGGGCCAUUACUGACGCUGAGGAGCGAAAGCGUGGGGAGCGAACAGG
rnacentral:rRNA from 1 species